GACGAACGCUGGCGGCGUGCUUAACACAUGCAAGUCGAACGGAAAGGCCCUGCUUUUGUGGGGUGCUCGAGUGGCGAACGGGUGAGUAACACGUGAGUAACCUGCCCUUGACUUUGGGAUAACUUCAGGAAACUGGGGCUAAUACCGGAUAGGAGCUCCUGCUGCAUGGUGGGGGUUGGAAAGUUUCGGCGGUUGGGGAUGGACUCGCGGCUUAUCAGCUUGUUGGUGGGGUAGUGGCUUACCAAGGCUUUGACGGGUAGCCGGCCUGAGAGGGUGACCGGCCAAAUUGGGACUGAGAUACGGCCGAGACUCCUACGGGAGGCAGCAGUGGGGAAUAUUGCAAAAUGGGCGGAAGCCUGAUGCAGCAACGCCGCGUGCGGGAUGACGGCCUUCGGGUUGUAAACCGCUUUCGCCUGUGACGAAGCGUGAGUGACGGUAAUGGGUAAAGAAGCACCGGCUAACUACGUG
rnacentral:rRNA from 1 species